UUUGGCGACUAAUUAUGAAGGGACUCAGAGAGGACUUCUCCCCUUCGCCUGAACUCUAUGGGGAUCCGGAGCCUUGGUACCAGCAGAGGCCUCUUGUGCCCAUCCACGUCCUCGGAGAGUCCAGACAAAUUUGGAACUGGGUCUGCUAUCUCAAGAAGAGACAAGUUAAUCUGAAGCCCCUAAAUUUCUCAUGCUGGUCUACUGACUAGAUGAGGAAAGUGAAACUCAGAGAUGAAAUGACUCAACUCCAAGCCCAGUUCAUCCCGUUACACUGUGUUGUCAACGUGUCUAAUAUAUUAGGCAGAAAGGUACUUAAAUGAAUCUUUUCCACUAUUUUUUUCCCCAAACAAAACCGAAAAGAAUAAUCUAUAUAUGGUAAAACAUGUUAAAUGCAAAAAG